rnacentral:rRNA from 1 species
UACGUAGGGGGCAAGCGUUGUCCGGAAUCAUUGGGCGUAAAGCGCGUGUAGGCGGCUUGGUAAGUCUGCUCUGAAAGCCCGGGGCUCAACCCCGGGAGGCGGGUGGAUACUGUCAAGCUCGAGUCCGGAAGAGGAGUGUGGAAUUCCUGGUGUAGCGGUGAAAUGCGCAGAUAUCGUAAGGAAGGCCGGUGGCGAAAGCGAGUCUCUGGACAGUUACUGACGCUGAUGCACGAAGGCCAGGGGAGCAAACGGG